rnacentral:lncRNA from 1 species
AAUGCGGCCACUCCAAGGAGGCCGGGAGGAUUGUGGGAGGCCAAGACACCCAGGAAGGACGCUGGCCGUGGCAGGUUGGCCUGUGGUUGACCUCAGUGGGGCAUGUAUGUGGGGGCUCCCUCAUCCACCCACGCUGGGUGCUCACAGCCGCCCACUGCUUCCUGAGGUCUGAGGAUCCCGGGCUCUACCAUGUUAAAGUCGGAGGGCUGACACCCUCACUUUCAGAGCCCCACUCGGCCUUGGUGGCUGUGAGGAGGCUCCUGGUCCACUCCUCAUACCAUGGGACCACCACCAGCGGGGACAUUGCCCUGAUGGAGCUGGACUCCCCCUUGCAGGCCUCCCAGUUCAGCCCCAUCUGCCUCCCAGGACCCCAGACCCCCCUCGCCAUUGGGACCGUGUGCUGGGUAAACGGGCUGGGGGUCCACUCAGGAGAGGGCCCUGGCGAGUGUCCUUCAGGAGGUGGCUGUGCCCCUCCUGGACUCGAACAUGUGUGAGCUGAUGUACCACCUAGGAGAGCCCAGCCUGGCUGGCCAGCGCCUCAUCCAGGACGACAUGCUCUGUGCUGGCUCUGUCCAGGGCAAGAAAGACUCCUGCCAGGGUGACUCCGGGGGGCCGCUGGUCUGCCCCAUCAAUGAUACGUGGAUCCAGGCCGGCAUUGUGAGCUGGGGAUUCGGCUGUGCCCGGCCUUUCCGGCCUGGUGUCUACACCCAGGUGCUAAGCUACACAGACUGGAUUCAGAGAACCCUGGCUGAAUCUCACUCAGGCAUGUCUGGGGCCCGCCCAGGUGCCCCAGGAUCCCACUCAGGCACCUCCAGAUCCCACCCAGUGCUGCUGCUUGAGCUGUUGACCGUAUGCUUGCUUGGGUCCCUGUGA